UAGUCGGGAAGACCUCCGUAGCUUCAAACGCUCAAUAAUAAAUCCUCAGCUUGCAAGAGGAGGCUGUUUAUUCAUGGUUUAUUCAUCAGAAUUUGUGCAAAGCUGUAGACGAAGCCCUGACGAGUCAAGACUUUGCAACAUAGAGAAAGAAAAGUGAGGUUGUCAUGGCUAAACACUAUCACGUGACGCUGUUGUUGUUGUCCUUUAUGACGUUGCUUUUGCGCCUCGAGGUGCAGGCCAAUUCAUCGUGCCAAGCCGACCAGAUUACAAUCAAGGAUCCAAGAACUGGUUCGAUUCAAUGCCAGGAUUGUUUGAAAUGCUCGCCUGGCGAGGGUCUCUUGGUCAAUUGCGGGGACGUGAUAACCCCUUCAACACCAGUGCAGUGCAAGCCAUGUAUGCCGGGAGAGACGUAUUCUGCUUCCUUCAAUACCGAAGCUUGUCAAGACUGUGAAAAUUGUGGUGAGUACCGUGAAACAACGAAAGCCUGUACGGUGACUUCCAA